UGGUCCUGGCCGGACCCGCAGCUUCGGUAACCAGGCUAAAAGUUCACGGAGAUUCACUCAGGCUUGAAAGCGAGGAGAUGCUGAAGCAAGAGGAUGGCUCAGCACACCAGAUACCUGCCUCAGCCCAUCCUUUGUGGAUUCUAACCAUCUGGUCAGGCCCUGGACUCACAGACUUUUGGCCUUCCAGCGAGGGAUGAAGAUGCUGCUGAGAUGCCAUCCCCGCUGUGCUCAGAUCACAAAUGUCUUUCUGUGGUCCCCUAACCACACGCCUGCUGCAGGCAGGAUUUCCAAGCAGAGGCUAAAUAGGAAAUGAGCCUAAUGCUGCUUUCAUUAGCAGCACUGAGAACUUGGCUACCGACAUCAGCAAGACGGGAGAUAAGCCUCAGCUCUUGAAAAAUGCAACCCUUUCUUCACAUUUAAUGCCUACUCCGUCUUUCAAGUUCAAGCAAAUACUUUUCAGCCACCCGGGAGGUACCAGUUAAGUGAAAUCACGUUUUGAAGCAUCUUCAACCCCUCCUUCUCACACUGGUAAUCCAAACGGAUGGCGAACACAGGUUAGCAAAGCUGGAGCCAGGAGCUGGGGUAGGGGCAGUGACCAGAGCGCCCAGCAGACAUCACUGCAGGCUCAGGGAGAUGUGGGCAGCUUCUUUGGUGGCCAGAGGGCCCGCAUCAAAUGUCUGAAGCAAGAUGAUGAAAGCUGGAGAUCGGCCACUGAAGCCUGGGAGCUUGAUCCCGCUGAAACAGCUGGAGUUUUGGAGCCCUUGGGUUCACACCAGGGAUUUGGCAUGUACCACAUUCAUUGGAGCCUUUUAGCAAUCCCCGCACCACCCUCUCAAAAAAAAAAUAAAUGAAAAAAUACGUAAAAAUUAAAGGCAAGGACAAGGACAAUAAAUGAGUGAAAAAUGGGAGCAGGUUCUCCUUUAAUGUCAAAAUUCCCCUUCCAAACCCUACCAAAUCAUAAACAACGUGACUUUUUCUCCUUUUUUUUUUUUUUUUCUACUUGGCCCUAACACAGGUCCUAAGAAGAGUGCAGAAGAUGAGAGGCAACCCUGUCACUGUUGACCAGACCCUGCAGUAGAAGAGGCAGCAGCCCUACACGAACCCAACGAGUAGCAAGGGCAGGAACAGAACAAGAGGUGGUUGCUCCUGAAGCCUGCACGAGGGGACGCAGCUCCUGCCCACAAAUCAGGGGCAAAUCACACUGCAAACACCACUGGCAGCUGGCUGAGGGGCAGCAGCUGCUCUGCACAUCUCAAUCAGCAGAGCCCUUCCCACCCUCGGCUCUCCCACACCGUGCAGAAAGCAUAGCUCAUCCUUUCCACGCGGGCUUUUGGUGAGCAGCUCACAAAUAUUCAUUUCUCCCCGCAGCCCCCACGAGAUGCAGCAGUAUUAUCUCCGCUCUGCAGAGGGCUGGCACCUUAAGCACAGCAAGAUUAAUACAGCUGCUUUCAAGAGUGUCCGCGAAGCAGGGGGCUGUUUCUCGGGGCUGUUAACACUUUCAGAGGAUGGCGUUUAAUGUUUGCUGCUGGGAUUGACUGAGCGUGUGGAAAUGCCAUUUUCGGAGGCUUGUGAUCUGUUGAACUGGGACUGAGGAUUUUUUUUUAGAGAGGCAGUGAAGGUUAGUGCACUCGGUGAAUUGCACAAGCAGCUUUUGGAUGCUCCAUGGUUGUUUCCCGGUUGAAGAUCAUCGAUUAGUGUUACGCUGGUGCUAGCAGGUGGGAUUUGCCCUGGCAUUUUUCUUACACACAGAAGGCCAGGCACCACUCCUGGCUCUGCUCAUUUUUCCACCCAAAACUGCAGCCCAAAUGUGCUCUACGCAGCCACAUCUGUGUGUUAGAUGGACCCCCAGGACCACCAGAAAGUUUUUCUUCUUUGGCUUGCACCCAGCUCUCAGGGCAACUCAACAACAGCAUCGCCACAGGACCUGGUUUGCCUCCUUCAUCAGGCACAACAACCGAAAAAUGUUGGAAGGGAGGAAUUCUUCAAGGAAAAAGGUAAUAAUUUAGGGGCUUUAGUGCAGGAGGCACUAAACCCAGAUGCCUGAAGAGCUGCUGGGACAUGGAAGCUUUGGAAAGGGAUGGUCUCAGGGGUGCUGUGCAUCACACCCUCCCCAUCCUUCCCCUCAGAGCAAACAACGGGAGCCUCCAUCCCUCCGCAAAUUGCUUCACAUUGCCUGAAUUUACUGUGUUAAUCAGGGAAACUGGAUGAAUGCACCCAGCCCCAGUGUGAGGAUGCUUCCUCCAGCCCCCCCAGAAAGCUGGGCAUGGCCCAGCUGUUCCCCAUCCACAUUUCCUAGAAGCCAGAGGAGGCUUUAUCCUAUAACCGAGCGUAAUUUCUGGCUGUCUUUAUUGUCAUGAAGCAGAUGGUGCUCGGCAGAGCAACAAGGACCUUUUUCCUCCUCCUUGCUUGAUUUGGAGCCCUUCUCCAUUAACCUCUGGUUUCUAGGAAACAAUAUCUCUCGUGGAUGGGCACCUGCGAAAGUCAAUUUAAAACCAUCACUGACGUGGCAAGUUGCUUCUUAGAAAGAAAAAGACUUUGCUGAGAAGAUGAAAUUGGCUUUGCUGCUGCUUUCCAGGAAUCUGCUUUUAAACACACAAGGCUUCAGUGUCACACGCACAGCAAUUCAAACUAGAAAUUGCUUCCUCGAGCCAGCCAGGAGGGGAAGAUUGGCCUGCAGUUGUAGGGUGGGCUGAAGAGAAGGUUAAUACUGUUUUGGGAGCCUUGUGUGUUUUGUUUGUUUGGUUUGGUUUAUUUUCUUUUGCUUUGAUUUGUUUUGUUACUGCUAUUUGCUUUGGAGUUCAGUGAAAUAUGAGAUACAGAAAAGCUCCCUUGCCAGUGCUCAACAUCCCCCUGCCUGGGAAGCUGCAAAGCAAAGAGACAGGACAAAUUAUUAUUUUUAUAUACUAAGUGACAUCAAGAGACUGCCUCAUCUGUAGCUGUUCACCAACAACAAUGGCUUGCGCUGAGAUUAGAUAAUCCUGUCCAGGAGUACAAAGCUGCAGUCCCUCCAUCCAUGAAUGAACAUUAACCAGUGAAUUAUCUCCUGGUUGGGGAAAACAAUCAAAGAAAGAAAAACAGAAAAUAUCAUUUUAUAAAAGGACAGAACGGAAAAUUGCACAGUGGAGCAGCUAGCUGAUAGGCUGCGUGGGGUAAAUGAUUUACAGGGGCUGAACCAGCUCCAAAUUAGUCCUCCUUAGCAGAACUCUGAGAUCUUAAAUAUUCAUCUGAAGUGCCAGCCCCUAAAAUUGCCAGUUCUUGAUCUUUAACCACAUCAAAAGACAUCCCUGUGUCUUCAGGUGUGCUGAAAUGGGGCUUACAACGAGUGGCACCUGAUGUCUGUUGGCGCCUGGGGCAGUGGGCACAGGGAGGGCCACCAGGACACGCAGCCCCUGGUGUCCUGGGCUUGAGAAGAUCCCAAGCACCAGCCGAGCCACCCUGGUCCCAUCAGUGCUCCUCUCCUGGGAACACCGGGCCAGGACUGGCUGCAGCAUCCUCCUGGGCACAGCAGGAGCAGCACCAAGACUAAAAACCAGAAACGAGCCCAGUUCUCCAUGGCAACGAGGAGGAAUUGGGUCAGCUGGAGGAGGCGAGCGUGCCCAGGAGCUUUAAAAGCAGACACCCAGCCAGAAAGGCAGAGCCGGUCCUGGGGACAGGGCUGGGAGCAAGGGACACGGCCAGGAUUUCUCCAUGUCAGCGUGGGGACUCUUGGUGGCUCUCUGGUGGCACAGAGCUGUGGGUCACCAGGUGCGGCUGUGCCACGUGUGUGCACCUGAAGCCAGCUCCUUGUGCUCUUUGCUUUGCAACUUCCGUGCAGUUUUAACAACCGAAGUAAGCAUUUUACAGCAAAUUAAGCAAUUAUACUUUGAAAGCUAUGCAAAAAUUACCUGUGAGAUUCCCGCAAGGCCUGCCAGGGCCAGGAACUCACCAGCACUGCAGGGAGGUGUCAGCACUUUGGGGGGAUUCAGUGCUUUAGAUGACACUUGGGCUCUGAUGUGACCCAAAAUGUGUCCGUCACUUGUUGCAUCUUUGCCCUUCAACUGUCAUUAAAAGGCCUCGGUUCUACUCCCAGCUGUCUCAGCGUGUGACCUGGAGCUGAAUAACUCCUCCUGAGCGGUACCUUCGUCUGUAAAAUGUGUUUCUUAAUGCAGCUCUACCUGGUAAUGAGUUACACACAGCACCUGGAGAACCGAGGGGAAAUGCUGCUGGUGACAGAGUUACAGUGCUAUUUGGGCUCGGCAGCACACAGUGACUGCACAAAUGCGAUUUAGGGGUGGUUUCAGCAACAAAAGACUUCUAGACAAGGAUAUUCAGCUGUUCAAGCUGAAUAUGCUGCAGGGUUGAGCACAGCUCAGAGCAGACCGAAGCCUUUUUGGAGGACCCAAGCCUUUCCAGCUGAGGCUUCACCAUCUCCUGGAUGCCCUGCCCUCCCAAGCCAGGUGGGAGGGGAGGGUUUUGUGGGCAUCCCGGCCUGAAAUCCCCCUUCUCAAGCAGAGCUUUGCCAUGGCACACCACCAAUGAUGUUGGGUUGCAUUGCGUUUGACCCCAAGAGAUGCCCAGUCAAGCCAUGGACCAGAGCAAUCAGAACCAAAGGUAGUGAAGGAAUUUGUAAUUAAAUUGCCAUUAGAUAGGUAACAGAUUGUCUGACAGCUGACAGUGAGUGAAAAUGCUCUACUCUGUCAUGUUUUAUCAGCAUGAAAACCAUUUGCAAGUGCUCUAAUUACAUUCCUAAUUGCCAAUGUGAUUAGGGACCUGCAGCUGUUCAUUAAACGUGUGUCACCCUCAGCCAGCAAUCUGCAGGAGAGAAUAUUUAAUUAAUCAAAUAGGCACUGGAUGAAAGCAAGAGAUGGACAGACCUGGAAGGCAGGGAGCAGAAGUCUUCUGGAGAAGGUUCGUCUGCCUCUAAUGUUGCCGGUGGCAGAGAGGUGUGUGAUAUAACCACACAGACAGGCGCUCGCUGUGCCUCGUUGCUGCUGCCGGCAGGAGCUGCCCUGGGGAUGAGGCAGUGGAGGAUGAGCAGCUCUGCACGCUGUCACGGGGAUUUGGAUGCAAAAACUGCAAGCGUGAACGGAGCCCUCGGCGUGGCACAAGGAAGCUUUUCCCUGCCUUGCUGGGCUGCUGUUACCACACAAAAAAUAACAGCAGUGGGGAACCUUCAGACCAUUAAAUGUGGCCGUAGACACAGUGGUGGGGCUCCUGAUUUAGGACACUUCUUCCCGGGGUGCCUCCGUGCCUUGGCAUCGCUGGUGCGAGGGGUUGAGCAGCUCCAUCUGCACCCUCACUGCAUCCUCCCUGCAAGGGACACUUUCUGCUGGCUCCCCAAAAGGCAGGAGGGGAGCGUGGGCUCCUCCAAGUACAGGCAAGAGCACUGGGGGGACCACGAAGGAAAAUGUCCUUUCUUAUUUUAUCUAGGGUUUCCAUCCCAGAGCAUUUCUUUUCCCUUCCCAUUUCAGGCAGCGCUUGAGAAGGUGGCUGAGAGGCCAGGGCUCAGAGGAGGACCCCGUUUUAAAGGCAUCUCUUUGCUUAGCACCCCACUACAUCCAGCUGCCUCUGCUCCCCUGAGAAGCAGGAUGGAGAGAAGCAAAAGCACCAGAGUGCAUCCAGAUCAGCUCAUUUCUUCAGAUUUAACAUGGCCUGGUGCUCUUGCCUUAAAAUAUUCUGGAUCACAACAGGGAGAGUCUUAGGAGGCUUCACCUUAAUCCCUGUUUAAUUUCCACUUAAGAAAAUGUCACUGUGGGUGUUUAAUAAGAAUUAAUUCUUUUUUUUUUUAAUAGUUACUUUCAAUUAAACAGCCCCAGUGUUUCCUGGCUCUCCAAACCACCCUGAAGCGCGCUGAAUCCUGCUUCCCGUCCACUCACCCCAGCUCUGCUCGGCGUCACAGCUCCAGUUUCUGCGGCAGAGCUCUCGCAGUGCUGCACAGGUCACCCCAGAGCCUGACAGAUGCUGGAGGAGCCGGGGCUCCUGUCCAGGCCCUGCCGUGCCAGUGCUGGGGACUCCUCACACAUGCUUCUGCAGAGCCAAUUAUUCCUCCUUUCAUCCUGGUGCACUGUCUUUUUAUUUCCCUACGAGCAGCGCUUUGCCCUUGUCAUUACUGCAUUUUCUCUUAUUGAUUUCAGACCAUUUUUUCAGCACGUGGAGAUUAUGCCAAACACCAGACCCGCUCCUCCCACUGCAAUCCCUCAGCACCUCCCCACCGCUGUCCUCUGCCCUCUCCUGACCACCACCAGCCCGCAGCCACCACUACCCACAGCAAGCCCCCAAGGGCUACUGGUCUCCAGCAGCCUUCCCAAGGGUGUAGGACCACCAUUUGCCCACUUCCCAAGGCUUUCUCUAGCAACACCCAGCAGACCCUGCCCUGAGCUGGAGGCUGAAGUGGAGAUGCCCAAAAGUCCCUUGAGAGAUCAUCUAACCAACCCCCCAGCCACGCGAACAGAGGAGAUGAGGAGGCUGCAGGAGCGGCUCCCAGGAUGUGGCUGGCUCCCCGUUUUCUCCAGGCUAGCGGCAGCGGGGUGAUUAGCAGGCUGAGUGGCAGCAGCAGCGUGUUCCGCUGGCAGGAGGGGAAGAUAAGACAGCAGCCCCAUCACAACGAAACACGUUUUUAUAACCGCUGGUGAAAAUUGAUCCAAUAAGUCUCUCUCCCGUAGCCUCAACUGACAACGUCACCUCCUGUAACAAAGACCUCUUUCAUCUGCUGGCUGCCCGGGCACUGAGUGUGCUCUCCCAUUAAUGAAUCAUCAGCCUGUCAGGGAAGUUUGACUACUCUGAUUUCCGAAAGUGAUGGACGUGGCAGAGCUCUGCACACUCAGCACCCUUCCUCUCCAUUCCCCCAUGUCAGGGGUAUGUGGGUGCCAAAAUGUGCAUCUCUGUUGCUGGGGGAAUUUGCACUCUGACUCCAGAGCUGAGAGCCUUAUCCACAAGAGUUGUUAUCCUUCCUCACCCCUUGGCACGCUCGUGUCCCGCCAGCAGGACGUGUUGCUGGCCCAUACUUGUGAGAUGCCCACAGCCAAGAGGCAGAACCCAGAAGGGGUGAGGAACCUGCUGAGUUUUAGCCCAGCGCCAGGUCUGAUAUGCCACAAGUUUGUCUCCCAGGCAGCGGAUUACACAUGAGCUUUUAUCUUCCUGAGGAUCUGGCAGAAAUUGCCUGCAGAACCUACAUGACCCAUCCAAAAAGCUCCUGCCCUGCAGGGCAGCAGAUGCAGGGAGAAGUGGUGCUUGGUGUUUAUUUCUUCAGUUCAUCGUGAUGUUUCCUAGGAAAGGAAGCCUUUGCUCUGUGAUCCUGUGCUCCUGAACCUGAGAUCCCAACCUCCUCUUUGCUGCAGUCCCCUUGUCCUGGCCGCCACGUGCCUCCUUCCACCGCAUCUCGCUCUAAAUAUUCCUUCUCCUUGCAUCUUCAGCACUAAGCCGUGCAGAGCUUUGUCACGCUCCAAAUGAAGGGCGAAGCAUAAAAAUAAGUUGUGUGUUAUUUACGCUCCUCCGAACUGCGUGUGAAUGGGAGUGCUGCAAUUUUAAAUGCCUUUAAAAUCAGUGAAAGAUUUAGAUUUCUCUGUCGGUGACAUUCGCAAGUUGAUGUUGCUAAACACUGGCGUACAGCUCAUUUGCAGCCACUAACAAGCACAUCAUAGGAGUCUGAAGCACUAAGAGUGUUGCUAAUCUCCCAUUAUUUAUAAUGCUUGGUCUCUGGAUAUCACCAAGCCAGGAGCUGUUAGCCUGCAGCUGGAGCAGUGCAUCAACCGAGCAGCAGAUCCACAGCCUCAUUUGCUGCACACAUGUUGUGGGAAGCGGCGCUCGUCCCCAGACCCUCCAGCACCGAUAGCUCAGGGUGUAAAUCCUUUUGGUGAGUGGGGAGGGUGCAAGGUGGGCUGGUGUGUCAACACGUGCUGGGGAGGAGAGGAGAUUUCUCCUUUAGACGAGGGGCCUGUUUGGGCUCUUCAGGUCUGGUUCCUCGCGUGGCAGAAGCAGGGCAGCUCCACCAAGUCCACCCCCUGCUCUUUCCUGCCUGCCAAAACCCAGCUUCUAGUAACGAGGGUUUCACCACCCCAGCCCCUGCCAAGGCUGGCUGGAGUCAGACAAUGACUUCAUCACAACUGGAUGAACGUGAAAAGCAGCCUUAAAGCUCCGCUUUGCUUCAGUCCCAGUCUUCUGCGGGCUUGGGACCCAAUUAGGGCUCAGUGCCGCGGACAUCUGACCACCAGCAGCCAAACCAAAAUGACUGUCUGCUUUCACAUUAGAGUGACUGAAGAGCUGUGAAGCCGUGAUUACUUCCUCUAAUUAAUGGCCAGAGUUUAAGCAGGGCUAGGUUUUACCCAGCAAUUCAAAAAUGAGAGACUCCACAACCACCCUGAGCGCAUGAGAGAGUCAUUCCCCCAUAAAAAGCUUUAAAUGAAGAUCUUUGAGCUACUACUUACACGGGAGGCAAUGAAUUACUUGCUGUGUUUAAGACAGACCCAUUAUUUAUUGAACUCGGAGAAUUAAGCCUUUCUAGCCUGUUGGAGAUGAACCCAAGCAGACGUGAUUUAGGAGCCAGGCGCUACUGGCAGCGGUUAGCAUGGCACGCAGCAAGGCUGGCGGCUGUGCCACUGCCUGGGUAAUUUACAACUCUUUGUUGCUGGGGCGUAAUACAUUAUUAAUCAGUCAUAUUUUAGGAGAUCCAAAUUUAUAUUGGCUUUAAUUAGGCCGGUCUCUUUUUAAUCUCCAAGUGUGCACGGGGCUAAUGGCAAAAGGGGAUGUAACGCAGAGGGGUGGAUUCUGGGACACCAUUAUCUUCGCCUUUCCCAGAUUGAUCUGAAGGUCUGCAGGUUGCCAUUAAGAUUCAUAUCCAUGAUGACAACGCCAUGCAGCAUCCCUCGUACCUCCCGAGUCAUCAGCGAGAUCUCUUUGGAGCUACUUUGAAAAGGUAAAACCGAGGCUAUUAGAGAAAAGACCUUGAACUGAAUACGUCGGAGGCAGAAGCGGCGCGCUUGGUAUGCGGCAUGGAUGCAGGAGCGUGAACAUCCCCGUGCAGCAAAAUGAAUGCCUGAAGGGGAAUGAGGCACUUGGAAUAAGCGAUCAGCCAUCAUUUCCAUCGCAAGGGGGAGGUUCACCCUCACCCACAGUGGUGCUGGCACGGAUGGGUGUGCAGAGACGGGCGUUUGGGGGAGGGCAGAGACCUGCAUGGAGAGCCAAGAGCACACCAAGGGCCUGUGCACCCAGAGAUGUGGCUCCUUGCAGAGCAGCAGCCUUCUUCGAUGGCUUCUUACCUCGCUGUUCUGCUCUGGCAGGCCUGCAAGACCUCCUCUCUUCUCACAUUAACUUUGCCUUUGGCACCAGUAAGACAUGCCCUCGAUGAAC